GGCUGUCUGGUCUGUAACUGACGCUGAGGCUCGAAAGUAUGGGUAGCAAACAGGAUUAGAUACCCUGGUAGUCCAUACCGUAAACGAUGAAUGCUAAGUGUUGGAGGGUUUCCGCCAUUCAGUGCUGCAGCUAACGCAUUAAGCAUUCCGCCUGGGGAGUACGGCCGCAAGGCUGAAACUCAAAGGAAUUGACGGGGGCCCGCACAAGCGGUGGAGCAUGUGGUUUAAUUCGAAGCUACGCGAAGAACCUUACCAGGUCUUGACAUACUAUGCAAAUCUAAGAGAUUAGACGUUCCCUUCGGGGACAUGGAUACAGGUGGUGCAUGGUUGUCGUCAGCUCGUGUCGUGAGAUGUUGGGUUAAGUCCCGCAACGAGCGCAACCCUUAUUAUCAGUUGCCAGCAUUAAGUUGGGCACUCUGGUGAGACUGCCGGUGACAAACCGGAGGAAGGUGGGGAUGACGUCAAAUCAUCAUGCCCCUUAUGACCUGGGCUACACACGUGCUACAAUGGAUGGUACAACGAGUUGCGAACUCGCGAGAGUAAGCUAAUCUCUUAAAGCCAUUCUCAGUUCGGAUUGUAGGCUGCAACUCGCCUACAUGAAGUCGGAAUCGCUAGUAAUCGCGGAUCAGCAUGCCGCGGUGAAUACGUUCCCGGGCCUUGUACACACCGCCCGUCACACCA
rnacentral:rRNA from 1 species